rnacentral:rRNA from 1 species
AUACGUAGGGGGCAAGCGUUAUCCGGAUUUACUGGGUGUAAAGGGAGCGUAGACGGCGAUGCAAGUCUGAAGUGAAAACCCGGGGCUCAACCCCGUGGACUGCUUUGGAAACUGUAUUGCUGGAGUGCAGGAGAGGUGAGUGGAAUUCCUAGUGUAGCGGUGAAAUGCGUAGAUAUUAGGAGGAACACCAGUGGCGAAGGCGGCUCACUGGACGGUAACUGACGUUGAGGCUCGAAAGCGUGGGGAGCAAACGGGAUUAGAUACCCGGGUAGUCCACGCCGUAAACGAUGAAUGCUAGGUGUCGGGGGGCAAAGCCCUUCGGUGCCGCCGCUAACGCAUUAAGCAUUCCACCUGGGGAGUACGUUCGCAAGAAUGAAACUCAAAUGAAUUGACGGGG